rnacentral:lncRNA from 1 species
UCACACUAACUGUCCCCAUCCACCUCAUCAACGGUCCCCCCAGUCCCUUUCCUCUCUACACUAACCUGUCCCCCCAGUCCCUUUCCUCUCUACAGUACCAUGUCCCCGAGUCCCUUUCUCUCUACACUACCCUGUCCCCCAGUCCCUUUCCUCUCUACACUAACCUGUCCCCCCAGUCUCUUCCCUCUACAAGUACCAUGUCCCCCAGUCCCUUUCCUCUCUACAAUACCAUGUCCCCCCAGUCCCUUUCCUCUCUACAGUACCAUGUCCCCCCAGUCCCUUUCCUCUCUACAGUACCCGGUCCCCCCAGUCCCUUUCCUCUCUACACUAACCAGUCCCCUUUCCUCUCUACAGUGCCAUGUCCCCCAGUCCCUU